AAGUGCCGCCACACAUAGAGUGUAAGUCUGUGGAAAACACUGCUAAUGUGUCAUUUUGUAGAUUUUAAGGACCUGCAGAGUCCUACAGUUCCUUAAGUUCACGUCCUGCUGUAUUGUAUCUGCGUAUCACAUGUUUGUUAAAGUAAAUGCAAGGGUAUGGUUCAUACUCACUUUUUUUCCUUUUUUUUCCCUCACAGCAGUUCAUAGAACUCUGAUGUUAGGUAGGACUGAAAGGCUUUAGGGGCAUGCAGAUUUUAGGGCUCUUUGUUAUGCAGAUUAUGUCAUUUGUGUAAUGAGGUGUAAACACAGCUCUAAUUGCUUCUCAAAAGUGUUUGAGGUAGUUGGAGAAUUUACCCUUAUUUUGCAUGUGACCAAGGACUGAUUAAAGACCCCGUGGUGCAGCUUUGCUUUGGUUGAGUUUGAAAGGACGGUUGUUCAUUUCUGGUUGAAACCAAAACUGUUUUGCGGAAACUGCAAGGAAGUAACUGUGUGCUGUACAUCCUUGUCGCCUUGUGAAGUAGUCUGACAGUCUGUACUAUUAAAAGACUUUUUUGUUGCCUAUUGCUUUCAAGUGAUUCCUGAUGUCUUCCCUAUAAUGAGUUUUUUGGUGGAGUCAGUGGACUUACUGUCGAACAAUUCCUCAAGAUCAAUGGCUUUCCUAAUGCAUUCUGGGGCUGGGGCGGAGAGGACGAUGACCUCUGGAACAGGGUUCAUUACGCAGGUUUCAGUGUGACCAGGCCAGAAGGUGAUAUUGGGAAAUACAAAUCUAUCCCCCAUCACCACAGAGGA